rnacentral:rRNA from 1 species
CGGGGAGGUAGUGACGAAAAAUAACGAUACGGGACUCAUCCGAGGCCCCGUAAUCGGAAUGAGAACACUUUAAAUCCUUUAACGAGGACCAAUUGGAGGGCAAGUCUGGUGCCAGCAGCCGCGGUAAUUCCAGCUCCAAUAGCGUAUAUUAAAGUUGUUGCGGUUAAAAAGCUCGUAGUUGAAUCUGUGUGUCACAGUGUCGGUUCACCGCUCGCGGUGUUUAACUGGCAUUAUGUGGUACGUCCUACCGGUGGGCUUAGCUCCUCGCGGGCGGUCCAACUAAUCUCCCAUCGCGGUGCUCUUCACUGAGUGUCGAGGUGGGCCGGUACGUUUACUUUGAACAAAUUAGAGUGCUCAAAGCAGGCUAUCUUUGCCUGAAUAUUGUGUGCAUGGAAUAAUGGAAUAGGACCUCGGUUCUAUUUUGUUGGUUUCCGGAACCCCGAGGUAAUGAUUAAGAGGGACAGAUGGGGGCAUUCGUAUUGCGACGUUAGAGGUGAAAUUCUUGGAUCGUCGCAAGACGGACAGAAGCGAAAGCAUUUGCCAAAAAUGUUUUCAUUAAUCAAGAACGAAAGUUAGAGGUUCGAAGGCGAUCAGAUACCGCCCUAGUUCUAACCAUAAACGAUGCCAGCUAGCGAUCCGCCGAAGUUCCUCCGAUGACUCGGCGGGCAGCUUCCGGGAAACCAAAGCUUUUGGGUUCCGGGGGAAGUAUGGUUGCAAAGCUGAAACUUAAAGGAAUUGACGGAAGGGCACCACCAGGAGUGGAGCCUGCGGCUUAAUUUGACUC